GAUGAAGAACGCAGCGAAAUGCGAUAAGUAGUGUGAAUUGCAGAAUUCAGUGAAUCAUCGAAUCUUUGAACGCACAUUGCGCCCCAUGGUAUUCCGUGGGGCAUGCCUGUUCGAGCGUCAUUUACCCCCUCAAGCUCCGCUUGGUGUUGGGCGUCUGUCCCGCUUCGCGCGCGGACUCGCCCCAAAGGUAUUGGCAGCGGUCGUGCCAGCUUCUCGCGCAGCACAUUGCGCAUCUCGAGGCACCGGCGGGCCCGCGUCCAUCAAGCUCCUCCCCCCCAGUUUGACCUCGGAUCAGGUAGGGAUACCCGCUGAACUUAAGCAUAUCAAUAAGCGGAGGA
rnacentral:misc_RNA from 1 species